GCUUCGCUAGCGCAACUGGCAGAUGCAUUCCGCUCAAAACGGAAAGGUUCUAGGUUCGAAUCCUAGGCGAAGCA
rnacentral:tRNA from 2 species